rnacentral:rRNA from 1 species
ACGGGAGGCAGCAGUGGGGAAUAUUGCGCAAUGGAGGAAACUCUGACGCAGUGACGCCGCGUAUGGGAAGAAGGUUUUCGGAUUGUAAACCAUUGUCGUUAGGGAAGAAAAAAAUGACAGUACCUAAGGAGGAAGCACCGGCUAACUAUGUGCCAGCAGCCGCGGUAAUACAUAGGGUGCGAGCGUUAUCCGGAUUUAUUGGGUGUAAAGGGUGCGUAGGCGGGAAUUUAAGUUGGUUGUGAAAUCCCUCGGCUCAACUGAGGAACUGCAACCAAAACUGGAUUUCUUGAGUGCUGGAGAGGAAAGUGGAAUUCCUAGUGUAGCGGUGAAAUGCGUAGAUAUUAGGAGGAACACCAGUGGCGAAGGCGACUUUCUGGACAGCAACUGACGUUGAGGCACGAAAGUGUGGGGAGCAAACAGGAUUAGAUACCCUGGUA